rnacentral:rRNA from 1 species
CCUACGGGAGGCAGCAGUGGGGAAUAUUGCACAAUGGGGGAAACCCUGAUGCAGCGACGCCGCGUGAGUGAGGAAGUAUUUCGGUAUGUUAAGCCUUAUCAGCAGGGAAGAAAAUGACGGCACCUGACUAAGAAGCCCCGGCUAACUACGUGCCAGCAGCCGCGGUAAUACGUCGGGGGCAAGCGUUAUCCGGAUUUACUGGGUGUAAAGGGAGCGUAGGCGGUUAAUCAAGUCAGAAGUGAAAACCCAGGGCUCAAACUUGGGACUGCUUUUGAAACUGAGUAUCUAGAGUGCAGGAGAAGUAAGCGGAAUGCCUGGUGUAGCGGUGAAAUGCGUAGAUAUUAGGAAGAACACCAGUGGCGAAGGCAGCUUACUGGACUGUAACUGACGUUGAGGCUCGAAAGCGUGGGGAGCGAACAGGAUUAGAUACCCCUGUAGUC